CAAAACUGAUGUUAUUUAAACACAACUGUUCUAUGUAACUAUGCCUUCAAAGUAAUUCUAAGGAUUCUUCUUUAUGAGAAGAACUGAUGCUCAUCAGAUUAAUAUUUUGUAGAGGAACCUUUCAAGUGAAGUGGAUUUUUAUGGCUGAAAUUAGCACAAAUUAAUGGGAAUACUCAAGCUCCCUGAAAGUGGUUGUGGAACAGCCCCUAGUGCAGAAUAAGAAGGCUUGAUUGCAUUAACCAAGUAUUCCCACUUAGACUUGUUUUGCUCUGCCUAUUUUAGGACUUAAAUAUUUUUAUAUCAACCUAAAAAUAAACAUUGCUUGGUUUCUAUAAUAGAAACAAUAUAACCCAAAUAAUAAAAAAAAUGGAUUAAAAUGAAUGACUGGCAUAUCAACACUUGCACAGUUGGUUUUUCUUUUCUAAGUUCCAACUUAUCUGCUGGAGAAGAGUAUCAACUUACCCUUUUAUACAAGAUUACUUGGAGCAAUGGAAACCAUACCAGAUAUCUAAAGAAUGCGUGUCUGCAUCUCACGCUUCCUCGCUGGAAUGUACUACAGCCAGUGGACACAAGAAGCACGUUUUCUCAACCACAGAACAUAUAUUAUUGAUGGAGCCAAAUCCAGGGCUGGAUUACUCUCAGCAGUAUUUUUUACAGCUUUCCCCCCCGCCCCUUCCUUUCUUCGUUCCUUAAAUAUCUCACAUAACAAUCAUCCCUCAUUUUCUGAUGACAAUUCCACCUUUUCAAUAACUCAAAACUGUGCUUUAAAAGGCUACAGAUAGCACUUUGUCAUUUGUAUGCUUUUGAUUUGAUCCUGAUAUCAAAUCUUUGAGUAUGAGUGCUCACAACACCUCCACAGCACCCGUUUUAUACUUUAAGCAAUGAGAGAACUCAGAGAUUGUAGUUUUUGGCUGACCUUGCAAAGGUCAAAAGUCGAUCCCACCCCUCUUUUCUUUUGACAAACUGCAUUCCAAGAAGCAUAGUGAUUCGGUGAUAUUUCUACGGAAACAAUCAAGAAAUCAUAGAUUUUUUUUUUUCAUGCACAAAAACAUCUAACAUCUAAUUCCUCUGCUGUUGUCAGAAUGCUUGUCAUCCCUAUGUACAGACACCCAUUUUGUCAAAAAAAAAAUCCAUCUAUAAACACACAUGGUAUAAAUAUAUAAAAUGAACUUGAUUAAUAUCAGACAUUUACAUUUAAUUUUGCUGAUGCUCUUCCAAAUCUUUUUCCCCUCCAGAUUUACUCCUAGAACAAACAAGCUUUCAUAAGCAGAAACUCCUCUCACAUCGCAUUGAGAUGAAGGAAACACUGAAGCUUCAGUUUCUAAGGGCUGUCUGGAGCUAUUUUUCUCCUAUCUCUGUCUAUUUGGAACUUGCUUUGCAUCUUUAGAUCAAAAGGCUUGCCUAGAUCCAAAGAAAAAUCUCUCAGAAUUCCCUUCCCAGCAAGGCAUAGUGUUGCUGUGCUACCCUUUUCAAAACUGAAGCCGGCUGUGCUGACCACCUGAAGAGCACUUGCAGGUUGAUCUCUGUAUGGGGAAGCAAGCUUGAUUUCAGGAAAAAAUGCAGUGGAGAGCGAGUAGCUCACUGCAAACCCUCGUGUGGUGUCCCUCAAGUCAUUGCGCUGCCCAGUGUCCCUUGAAAAGCUGAACAGGGUCAUAGGCUAGUGUGUGUGGUCAGGACAAAGUGGGUGGCCAAAGACUAGGAACUGGAGUUCACCAUAAUAUUAUGUGCAUUAAAAGAAGCUUUAUGUGGUUUGCUUGUCAAAGGUUAGGCAGCUGUGCUUGCAUCCACACCUUCCCUAGUUACUAGUGCUUGUUUUUUCUUUCCCCUUUUUUCCCUCUCAAUGAGCUAAGACACUGUCUUACAAUAUCACUUGUCAGCUCACAGUCUUAGUAGGAUGAAUUCAAAGAUCAGCUGCCAGCAGUUUUACUUCAUGCUGGCCCACACCCAAUGAUUUAUUUUCACACCAAUCCACAGAAAUCUUUCAGCCAAGAACUUCAGGCCCAAACCUGUUGACAUGACACCUAACUGAGCUACUUCAAAGGCAAUUACACUUGUGUACAUGCUUGUGUUUACACGGUGGUUCCUACAAGGAAGUUAUGCUGCAUGAUAUCAUUCAUUGUUCUUCAAAGAAUGCGCUGCAGAAUGCAUAUCCUUUGCGCUGAAUUUCAAUGGGCUGAUUAGGAAGUGGUGAGUGAUGCAUGGCCACUGCAGCAGCCAGUGGCUGGGUAGAAUUGCGAGUUGAACGUGAAAGGUCUUGUUUGACACAGGUUGAAGCAUCAACCAGCAGCUCUCAGCAGCUCUACAUGAAUUAAAAUAAUAUACUAAGUAUAUAUAAUGAGUUUAUAUAUAUAUAUAUAUAUAUAUACACACACACAUAUAUAUAUAUAUAAUAUAUAUAUGAGUAUACAUGUAUAUAAUGAGUAGGUUCUCUCACACACACUGCAGUGAACCAAGGCCAUCUGAAAACCAAAGAACAUUUCAGUAAUAACUGUCCCUCCUUGCUUUCUCCAUGCACUUAGAGAGGCAUUUUUCAGAAAACAAACAAACAAACAGAAGAAUGUUCUUAAUUCUCAAAUUGAGGAUAUUUUCCUGACAAUACAAGAGUAAGCAGAAAAGAAUCAGUAGGAAGUGUAACACACUUACACUUGUUGAUGUGAAAGUAUACAUUCUAACACUUCAAAAACACACAAGUCCAUAGUGGUCUAGCAUCUCCUUUCGUGUGUCAUGACCAUCAUCUCAGCAUUACCUUUAUCAUGUUACCCCAAGUGUAUCCUCACUUACUUCUCUUUUUGGAGCCUUGCACAGUUCUAGUUCCCUAUGUUGAAGUUACCCAGGCCAACUCUGUCUCACACUGAUGUAGAAUCAGGGCAAGAGAAAGGAAGAGCAUCAGACAAAACAGCUCAGUCACUUCUAAAAAUGAUGCAAGGGUAAGAAGUCAUACUUUGUUUGAAAACCUUUAGAAUCUCCAGGUUGGGAGCAAAGAACUGAAAUUUGACAGAACCUGGCCCAACUUUUUUUUUUGUUUGUUUUUGUGUGAAAAUCUACCAAAACCUGUCCAAUACACAAAAAUUUGAAACAUGAGAGCUUGCAUGCAGUUAUUGGGAUCUGCCCCAUCGUCAUUACUCCAGAGACUCCAUCUGUCCUGGAACACAGCCAAGGAUUCAGCAGGGAUCUUCUGCUAUGGGAGCUCUGGGUUGCACUGGGCUCUGCAAACUCUGUCUCCUGUAUUUUCAGUUAUUCAUACAAGUGAAGUAUUUAGUCAUCAAACUGUUAUUCCUAAUAACAACACUUACAAUCCUUAUUAAGCUGUGAGUAAGUUUCAACACCUGUGGAAGCAAUGUGGUGCUCAGCUUGGCCUCAUUGAUCUUAAUCUGCACAGAAACCUGAUGAAGAGAAUUCCCAUGUGCUUGAAAGCUCCUGUUGCAUCAAAACAAGAACUACUGAAAAUGUAAGCAUAGCCCUGAAUGUUUUUGUCCAUUACUACUCAGGCAAGUAUGGGAAGAUUUACUGAGACCAUCUGGACUUAUUCUGGUUCUUAUCAAGCAGCAGAGGGUUUUUGUUUUUUUUUUUUUUUCUUUCCUUCCUUGCAAGUUCUGUUCAAGUGACUCAUCCACUAAUGUCAUUUAGCCACAGCUUUCUGUCUUUGCCAGAAUGAGUUUCCAUUGAGCAGUACACCAAUGGUGAGGGGAAAAAAAAAAGAGCUUAAUUACAUCUCCAGUUUUAUAUGCUUCGUGCAAGAAAGUGUUUUAAUAAGGGGUAUUUCAAAACUCCUUCAUUUACUUCUAAACAGUAUUUGUUCAGGCUUCAAAGGCCAGAGAGAUGACACAGGAAGGGCAGAAGGGGGUCAAGCAAAGUUACUUAAGUUAAGAAAAACUGCAUCUUAAUUAAAACCUUUUUUUUUUUUUUUUUAAAAAAAAAAAUAUUUUCUUUUGGUUGGGAAAAGGGAAAAUUCAUUAGAAAAAGGAAUGAAUGAAAUUUGAGGUUUCAUCACCUUGAUGAGGUCACACAUGAUGAGAAUCACAGGGAGAAAGGUUUGGGAUAUAAAUGCACAGGAAGGGAAAAUGAAUUAAAAAAAUGUAACCAGAAAAUGACCACUUUAGAGUCAGAAGACAGUUGCUCAGUGGAAAAUACCAAAUGCAGCAUUAACAGAAAAAUUUUCCUAUCCUCAUACACACACAGUGUCGAUAAGGCUCACCAACUUGUGUCACCAGACUUCACUGACUUUUAAAUAACCUAUUUUGUGCAAAAAUAACAGGAAAUAGAUUGAAGAUGAUCCAAAAAAUAAAAAUUAAGCAAUUUAUACCGUAUCAUACAUACAUACCAGUCCAGAAAAUGAUAGACUCAAAUAUGCUAGAAAAUCCAAUUUCCAUAACAAACGCUUACUAACGACUACCUGUAAUAGUUAUUCAUGUCAACUACCAUUAUGCAUAAAAUUGGAAAGAAAGGAAAAUUUGAAGCAAUUAAGAAACUGUUUAGAGACAGCUAAAGAAAUCAACCCACUCUUAAAAUAUAUUACCAUACGUUGACAGUCUGGUUUGUAACAAAAAUGGGUCAUUCACAUGCAGAGACAUAAUGUAGCAUUCUAAACAUACGCAUGUGCAAAACACUGAUCAUUCUCAGUGCCAAAGCAAAUGAAAGGCCUUUGAGGGACUGCCUACCAGCCUCCUGAAGGUCAAAUUGCUUACGACAUGAUCUUACUUUUCUUUUGUUCCUAGAUUUUGGUCUUACGAAUGCUUGCACCAUUAACAAUAUUCUGGAUUUUGAUUCAGUUUGUGGCAGUUGCUGUUUAUGAGAAUCAGUUAGCAAAUCUUGAUAUCUUAAAUUUUAGUAUUCUAUUGAGAAAAAUCAAGCAGAUUUCUUCUGUUCAAGAUAUGGGUAGAUGAUGCAGCCCAUUACAUACCUGACGUAUCUAGAAAAUGUUUGCACACUACAAUGGAAAAAUCAAGGUUUACCUUUAACGAGUACAUUUAAUGCAGUGACGUAUUACUGGUGCUCCAUACAGUAGAUGAAUUCUACAGUCCUUCGAAAUGUUCCCAUUGUCUCCUCCUAACCUUUUUGCAGUUUAUCCCUCUCACUUUCUAGCUUGAUUUUCUGCUAAAUAGUUAAUUUGUGACCCUUUACCAAUUCAAACUCCCCUGACUGUAGCAGGUAGCUUUUUCAAGUAGGCAUAAUGCUUAUGGAGAAUGGCAUCCAUGCAGAAUACUAGCAACAUAGACAACGGGUGGUUAUUUCUGAUAUAAGGAGUGAGUGUCUAGGUGAGCUACUUUUUCCUCAAGUUUUCUGUUGUAAUUAGAACUGGCCAGUAUAUCUGACCAUGGACUAUCUGCAGGGACCACCUGCAGUGCAGAACUUCCUGAAAUCAACACCAGAACAAGGAGGCUCCAUACAUGUGCUAAUGCCCCACGGUACUUGGGCUUUAUUUCUACACUAAUCCCUCAGUACAGCAUCACAGCCAUGAAGUUAAGAUUCCUAUUCCAAACUAAUCUCUAUUUUUAACUUGAUUUUCCCAUGGAGAUAUAUUUUCACAAAAGAAAAAAACAAAAUGCUAUAUGAUUUGUGGCUGCCCUGAAAUUGUUUUGGAGAAAAUUUGAGAUAACUAAGCCAAGAUAUUUGAGUCAGAAAGUUUGAAAAUUAACAUCUUUCUGACUGUUCAUGAAGUGGCUCAUGCACUGGUAGCACUUUAAGAGAAGCCUGCUAGUUAGUUGUUAUUUAUGAAGACUUACAAAUUACUUGUCAAUGUUUGUUUACAACCUCUAAAAGUCUACAGUUUUGUUUUUCAGGAUGUGUGGCAACACAGUAGGUUUCACUCUACUUCAUAUGUAAAAAUGAGAGCCUUGAUCUACCUUAACUUGCGUGCAGGCAGACCCAUUUGUUUUGGAGCAAAUGGAGGGGAAAUGUUGACAUGCUCGAGAAAAGCCGUAAUUCUGAACAACAGAGUGACAGUCAUAGGCUAGAGGAAUGGGUUGACUGGGCUGUAUCAACAGAAGCAUAGCCAGUAGACCAAGAGAAGUAAUUAUUCACCUUUAUGCAUCAUUUAUUAGACUACGUUUAGCCCUUCUCUGACCCUAAAGAUAGAUGUUGGAAUAUAUUUGUCUGGGAAUACUUAAUGAUAUAAAUGAUAAAUACUACAUAAAUGAUAGUGCAAAUGAUAAUCUGUGCUGCAUUAGACUUUGCCUGGUCUUGGUUAAAAUCCAACCCAUCAGCUUCUUUUUCCCCAGGCUGACCUGCACCUUUGGCCCUCUGUCCUCCAGUGACCUAGGGUCCUUGACUAUCUCCUGACUUGCUUUCUUCUGUCCAUGAUACCCAUUACUUUGUGCCACUGCCAGAGCUCUGUUCUGGUACUAUGCUAGCAUGCAUGAGAGACAUGGAUUUCUACCCCAGAAAGUUCAGGUUUUCACUGCAAGUCAAACACAGUAACAGGCCGAAUCAGGGAAUGAGGAGGUUCUACAGGAAUAGCAAAACAAUGCUCCUUAUUCUGAAAAACCGUAGUCGUAAGGACACAGCAUAUUUAUUACUGAAAUAUUCAAACAGAUGCUCACAGGAAACUGCUUUGUGAAAUUUAUUCUCACUCCUCCAUUUUUAUUCUUGGAGACCAAAAUCUAAGUGUUAAAUAUAAAGCAAAGUGAAACAAAAACCCAAACUCCUGGAGAGCUCACUGUUCAUCUCCACAAACACUGUGCUACAACUACCACAGAAAUUCAAAACAAUCCAUCUAAAUUUACUAUUUCUACACACAACACACCAUCCUCGGCAAUGACGUGGCAAAACAGCCCACUGGGACCACACCAACGCCUCUGCUGGCAGUAGACCUUGGAGAACAAUAUUGGGGAGAAGUGCUUUGCUGGUGAUCAGACUUUUGGGAACUGCAAAGUAGUCUGCACAGUAAGUCACGGUUUGGAGAGAGAAGUUUUUGCAGUUCAUGUGACAAUAAGUUCUCUUUAAAUUAAUAGGACCUGAGAGUGCUUACUUACGCUUGAGAGCCUGGAAUCCUUACUCAGCCUAGCAGCUGUUCCUAGGAAUGACUUGUUAUUCUUUAUCAGCUGCGUGAUCAAUCUGCCAGGGUCACAGCACACAUUUUUGAAUCCAAAAACACUGGCCUAGUACGCCACAGCUGGCUUGAGAAGGCUUCAUCUCUUGCUGCAACUGCAGAGAAGGAAAAUAGUCCUCAGUUUGGCUGAUGCCUAUAAAACAUUGGUUCCAGAUAACUUCCCUUGCUUGGAUAAAAAUUCACGUUUGGCUUUUAUAAAAUUUGUUUAGAAAUGCACUAAGUUUGUCAGGCAAACUCUCCAUGUAUAUAGCAGCCGAGGCCCCCCUUUGCUGGGACCCAGAUGUUAUGCAGGUGUGGACAUGCUAAAGAUGUAAUUAUAAGUACACAGAAUUCAUCUUAGGCAUUAGCAGAAAAUAAAAGCUUCAGCUAUCUGUGGAGUGAAAAAAUAUGGACAGAUAAUAUUGUUUGGUCACCAUGGUGGCCUUUGUACAGGACAGGGUGAAAUUUCUUGUUUUAUCCCAGUUUCCAUAACUCAUCUUCCUUCCCAUUUCUGACUUCUGUCUUCUCUCUCCAAACUGAGCUUUUGCAUUUUGGAGAGCUUUUUUAUUACACAUAUUAUUGCUGUUCUCUAGAGAGCGAGAGAACUGGGAUUAGAUUUGACAUGCUUAGAGAAUCCAAAAUUUAAACAUGAUUUUUAAUGACCCAUGCAUAUGUAUUCUUUUCAAAAGCGUACAAGUGUUAUGUAAAAUUAUUUAUUUAUUUAUUUUAGUUUGUUUUCCCUGCCUUUGGCUGUUUUGUAAGGAAUAUCUGUUGGGACUUUUUUGAUAAUGAACUGCUGCAGAGAGGCUAGAAUUUUUCUCUUCUAGAAACUGUUAUGCUCAGAUAAGUUUUGGAAGGAAUUUACAGAUAAGAUUUAUAUAACUAUGCUAUUGAUUUUAAAGGUAGGUAAACAAGAAACUAGAAGCUCACUUUGUCUAUCUGUGCCAGAUGUAGUAUUUUAUAUGCACAUACAUACAAGAGGAAUGUUUUUGACACAGAGGGGUUCCACAAAGAGCUACUGUAAAAGAUUUCAAUCAUUCUGUUCACUUAUUGACUCAAAAAGCCAAUAUCACUACAUCUGAACAGCCAGCAUAAAGGAAGCUAUACUAUCAUAUAAGCAGUGACACAACCUUUUCCAUAAAACUGUAAUUUAAACCUCAAUAAAUAAUGAUAAUUUAGGUGCUUCUCUUUUUAAGUUCCUGAGGAGAACCACUGCCAAGUUUCUUGAUUCUGAAUACAAAAUACAGCUGCUUUCAUUCCUGGUACUGACUCAUCUCUCAGUAGUUCCCAAGGGGAUGAGCUCAAAUACAGUGGAAUCAGGAGUUACCAGAGUAAUCGUGAAAGAGCACUGUCAGGUUACUGUACUCCAUGUACUCUCCCACAGGGAAGACUGUUUUAAUAGCUGUGAACAUGUUGGAAGCAGAUCCUUUGCAACGUUUUGUGGCACCAUCUUAAGUACAGCUCUCCUAGGAAAGCUGCACUUAAUCCCACAGGGCAGAAAUCCUAAGGCCUCGGACAAGUAUUUAUCUGAUUUAACCAAUAUGCAAUGGUUUGAACCAAGAGGUUCACAAAACAUUCCUUUCAGAUUAGGAAUCUGUUUUAAAAUGGGACCACGUAAUUUACUGGAACGUGUUCUUCCUGAAUAAGUCAGUCAACGAACCUAGUGCCCCUCAGCUCCUCCAGCGGCCUACUGUAUUCUGCGACCACAUGAACACCAGCAUUACAGUCACAGAAUCAUAGAAACACAAGGUUGGAAAGGACCUACCAGAUCAUCUAGUCCAAUGUCCUCCUAUCACCAAUACUACUCACUAAGCUACCUCGUAGCACCUCAGCCAGGCGUUUCUUGAACACCGUGAGGGAUGGUGACUCCACCACCUCCCUGGGCCGGCGGUUCCAGUGCCUGACCACUCUUUGAGAGAAAAAGUUUUCCUGAUAUCUAAACUAAAUCUCCCCAGGCACAACUUGUGGCCAGUUCCUCGAGUCCUGUUAUUAGUUACCUGAAAGAGGCUGACGCCCUCCUCAUCCCAACCUCCCUUCAGGAAGUUGUGGAGUGCAAUGAGAUUUCCCCGGAACCUCCUCUUCUCCAGACUACACACCUCCAGCUCCCCUCAGCCGCUCCUCACAGGACUUGUGUUCCAGGCCCCUCACCAGUUUUGUUGCCCUGCUCUGGACACGCUCCAGGGCCUCCAUGUCCUUCUUGUAGUGAGGGGCCCAAAGCUGAACAGCACUCGAGGUGCGGCCUCACCAGAGGCCAGGGGGAGAACCACCUCCCUGCUCCUGCUGGCUGCAGUACUUCUAAUACAGGCCAGGGUGCCAUUGGCCUUAUUGGCCACCCGAGCACACUGCUGGCUCGUUCAGCCGAGCAUCGAUCAACACUCCCAGGUCCCUUUCCUCUUCACAACCUUCUAGACACUCUGCCCCAAGUCUAUGGGGCUGCAUGGGGUUAUUGUGGACAAAGUGUGGGACCUGGCACUUGGCCUUGUUAAACCUCAUCCCACGCACCACAAUGGCUGUCAAAUAGCAGCAGUGUUCAAACAAUGACCUCACUUUCUUAUAUGAAAAUACUGGAGAAAGAAUCAAGUUCUCUUGCUUUUAGUAACAGUUAUCAGCAGUACUGGGAUGGAUGUAAAUUGUGUUUUGGGAAGAACAGAAAAACAUUCAUUAAGAAGGAAAAAUUAUGAAUAUACACAUUUCCCCCUCUAAUUUUGACUGCAUUUAAUACUUCAGAUCGUUACAUUAGUUCAGACCACAUUGCUGGGGAAUUUGCAAAAUGGACAAGUAUAGGUCCCAGAAGAAAAAGAGGCUGAUGACAUAGCAGACUGGAUAAUACUAUAGGGUAUUUUAAACCGUUUUAAGAAAAAGGAAACUGCUUUAUGUGCAGAACCUUAACAUGAGUAAGUGGCUGCUGGCAGAGGCAGAAUACCAUAAGAGGAAUGAGAAUAUAAGAAAGCAUUAUUUCACUUGCAAAUCCUUUCAGUUGCUGCUAAACACAAUGUAGAAUCCCAGGCAAGAUUAAUGUCUUACAUCAAGCACAAGACAAUCCCUAAGAUAACACCCUAAAGAACUCACAGAGUAGAUUGACGUAGCUGAGCAUCCAAAUGCAAGUGUACAGUUUCAGAUAAAAUGCUGCAAUGUCCAUGCUGCAAAAACCCACAACAGUGAACAGAGUAAUCAUUGUUUUAUCUUUUGUUUGGAGAAUACAACCCCUACGGGAACUGUGGAAUUCUAAGGUGCUUUCAAGAACCACUGGAAAACUGUGUUUAUUUUAAUAAUAAACCUACAACAUAGUUACCAAA